UGGGUCUCACCAGCUGUAACAGCAUCUCCAUAUGGAAAAAACCCUCUGGUUUCCAGUGGAGCUGCUGUUAUCUAUGGAGGGCCAC
rnacentral:pre_miRNA from 13 species